GGUUGAUCCUGCCAGUAGUCAUACGCUUGUCUCAAAGAUUAAGCCAUGCAUGUCUAAGUAUAAGCAAUAUACAGUGAAACUGCGAAUGGCUCAUUAUAUCAGUUAUAGUUUAUUUGAUAGUCCCUACUACUUGGAUAACCGUAGUAAUUCUAGAGCUAAUACAUGCGUAAAGCCCCAUCCGGGGUGUAUUUAUUAGAUACAACCAACCCGCAAGGUCUUUGGUGAAUCAUAAUAACUGAGCGAACCGCAUGCGCAAGCGGCGGUGGUUCAUUCAAGUUUCUGCCCUAUCAG
rnacentral:rRNA from 1 species